AACCAAGCUUAUUAUUAUUAUUCAAUAACCAAUCUACUACCAUGUUACUGACCGUCCCUAGAGCAAGUGGCAAAGGGCGGGCUUGGUAGUUGGUAUCCGAGACCUAAGUUCGAAUCCUAGUUGAUUCACAUUUUCAGCUAAGUUUAUUUCUAAAUGAAAUAAACGAAGCGGGUAGCGUGUUACCUAUCUCUCAAAAAAUCUACUGCCAUGUUUGACGUCCUUAAUUAGCCCC
rnacentral:lncRNA from 1 species